rnacentral:ncRNA from 2 species
CAGGGGCUGGCUUUCCUCUGGU